AUUGAACGCUGGCGGCAGGCCUAACACAUGCAAGUCGAACGAGUGGCGGACGGGUGAGUCAUGUCUGGGAAACUGCCUGAUGGAGGGGGAUAACUACUGGAAACGGUAGCUAAUACCGCAUACCAUCAGAUGUGCCCAGAGGGGAUUAGCUAGUUGGUGGGGUAACGGCUCACCAAGUCGACGAUCCCUAGCUGGUCUGAGAGGAUGACCAGCCAAACUGGAAAUGAGACACGGGCGAGACUCCUACGGGAGGCAGCAGGGGUGAAUAUUGAGCAAUGGGCGCAGUCCGGAGGCAGCCAUGCCGCGUGUAUGAAGAAGGCCUUCGGGUUGUAAAGUACUUUCAGCGGGGAGUCGUUACCCGCAGAAGAAGCACCGGCUAACUCCGUGCCAGCAGCCGCGGUAAUUC
rnacentral:rRNA from 1 species